UACGUAGGGGGCAAGCGUUGUCCGGAAUCAUUGGGCGUAAAGCGCGUGUAGGCGGCUCGAUAAGUCUGCUGUGAAAGUCCAAGGCUCAACCUUGGGAUGCCGGUGGAUACUGUCGAGCUCGAGUCCGGAAGAGGAGUGUUGAAUUCCUGGUGUAGCGGUGAAAUGCGCAGAUAUCAGGAGGAACACCUGCGGUGUAGACGGCUUACUGGACCAUCACUGACGCUGAGGCACGAAAGCGUGGGUAGCAAACAGG
rnacentral:rRNA from 1 species